rnacentral:rRNA from 1 species
GAUGAACGCUGGCGGCGUGCCUAAUACAUGCAAGUCGAGCGAACGGACGAGAAGCUUGCUUCUCUGAUGUUAGCGGCGGACGGGUGAGUAACACGUGGAUAACCUACCUAUAAGACUGGGAUAACUUCGGGAAACCGGAGCUAAUACCGGAUAAUAUUUUGAACCGCAUGGUUCAAAAGUGAAAGACGGUCUUGCUGUCACUUAUAGAUGGAUCCGCGCUGCAUUAGCUAGUUGGUAAGGUAACGGCUUACCAAGGCAACGAUGCAUAGCCGACCUGGGAGGGUGAUCGGCCACACUGGAACUGAGACACGGUCCAGACUCCUACGGGAGGCAGCAGUAGGGAAUCUUCCGCGAUGGGCGAAAGCCUGACGGAGCAACGCCGCGUAGGUGAUGAAGGUCUUCGGAUCGUAAAACUCUGUUAUUAGGGAAGAACAUAUGUGUAAGUAACUGUGCACAUCUUGACGGUACCUAAUCAGAAAGCCACGGCUAACUACGUG